rnacentral:rRNA from 1 species
GACGGAGGAUGCAAGUGUUAUCCGGAAUCACUGGGCGUAAAGCGUCUGUAGGUGGUUCGAAAAGUCCACUGUUAAAAAUUGAGGCUUAACUUCAAAGAUGCCGUGGAAACUUUCAAACUAGAGUAUGGUAGGGGUAGAGGGAAUUUCCAGUGGAGCGGUGAAAUGCGUAGAGAUCCGGAAGAACACCGGUGGCGAAGGCGGCCUGCUGGGCAGUAGCUGACACUGAGGCGCGACAGCGUGGGGAGCAAACAGG